CUGGAAUAAUGCUAAGGUAUCUGCUAAAGUUGAUUCCGAUCCGGCAAAUACAGCAUAGAUUACGCAGCACUGGUUGAUUAAUAAUAGCCUAGGGUUUUGACCGACCACGUCGUGCAGGGGUGAGCGCGCUCCUCUUCCGAUCCCACCAGUGUCAAGUCGCGGUUAAUUUUCCCUCGGAAACUAAAUUAAUACGCGUAUGCAGGAUUUCAAAAGGAUGGCUGCACCGUUAAAUUUUUAUAGAUAUUGGUAUGAUAUAGGAACAACAAGUAUAAAGAAAAAAUCAAAGAAAAAUUUUAAACAUUCAAAUAAUCAAUAAUAUUUCAACCCAACUUAAGUACUUCACAAAUCAAAGAAAAAAGAUAAAGAAACAAAAGAAGCAGUAAGAUUGAUAAAGAAAUUGGAAAAAUAUGUGACCUUAGUUUGCAAAAAAAUUGGUAUUUUGCUAUUGUAAAAGACUUGGGGCUAGAGAGUGUUUUCUAGAGAGUUGCUUUUGAUUUAGGGAUUUUGAAAAGUGACUAAAGGAAGGAGUUGUGCACUAUUAUUAGGUAAUAAAAAGAGGAAAAGAAAAACAAAAUCGUCUCUGCCAAAGGAGCAGAAAACUUUACAUGGUGGG
rnacentral:lncRNA from 1 species